GUGUGUGUGUGUGUGUGAUAGAAACAAACAUUAACAGAAAAAAGAACAUGGUAGAUGUCGAUACAUAAUCUGCUAUUGGGUGUGGUUUUAACCAUUAACAUUGGUUCUUGAUUGGUUAGCUAUAGAUAGCAGCAAAGUUGAAAGAAAAUUAUAUUUGAUUUGAAAUGAGAAUAUUUUAGAUUGUUUAUACAAAUAAAUGAGAUGUCUGAUUUGAGUAUCUAUUUAAUUCUGUUUACUCAUUAGUGAAUUUGAGAAUUUUGCCUAUUCCCAUGUGUCUUAGUCAGUGUUCUAUUGCUGUGAAGAGACACCACAACCAUGGCAACUCUUAUAAAAGAAAGCAUCUAAUUGGGGCUUGCUUACAGUUUCAGAGGUUUAGUCCAUUGUUAUCAUGGCAGGAAAGGUGACAGCAUGCAGGUCGACAUGGUGCUGGAGAAGGAGCUGAGAACUGUGUAUCCAGAUCCACAGGCAUCAGGAAGAAAGACCGACCCAGGCCUGGCUUGGACUUUUGAAACCUCAAAGCCCAUGCCCCGUGACAAACUUCUUCCAACAAGAUCACAACUACUAACCUCUCAAGUAAUACCACUUCUUAAUGACCAACCAUUCCAAUGUAUGAACCUAUGGAGGCCAUUCCCAUUCAAACCACCACAACAGGAGAUAUGGUGAUGUAGACCAGUGCUAUAACACUGGCCUAGCAUAUGCAAGGUCCUGAGAUCAAUAUCCAACACCAAAGCAGAACAGAAUCACAUGUGAACAGAUUCACAGGUUUUGAAGACAUGAGGGAAUCAUUGAGAGAAGCUGGGGUGUAACAUCGUAAGAGGCUAUUGGUGAAGGCACAGCCACAGCUGUGGUAAAAGCCCUGGGAUUGAGGAGUCAUGGAGAGAAGUCGAGACUUGGCACCACCUAGCCAGGUCAGAGUCCCUGCAGACAGCCCAGGGGGGGCUUGUGAGAAGAGUCAGCCCUGUUGCGGUGGAGACCCCAGCUUUUUGGAGAUGCCAGCACAUGGGACCACCACCAAAGAGCAGCAGCCAGCUGUGGAGUGGAGCCAGACCGAUCCUGGGAGAUGAACGAUGUGUGCCAUGGUGGCAGAGCCUGAGGAAAGGAACUAGCUGUCCAGGCAAGGAUCAUGAGUGGGUUCCAGGCAUUAAGAACUUAACUUUUCACUAUGUUGAACUUUGCCUUCGUUCGUCCCUUGUGGAGUAAGGAAGUAUUCUGCUUAUUUUGAUUUUAUAGGCACCCACAGUUGAUUCUGAACCUUUAAAGGGAGUUUUAGAAAGGCUGGAUAUUUUAGAGGCUUGAACUUUGAAAGAGACUGAACUUUUAAAAGUAUUUGAAUUUUAAAGACCAUGGGACUUUUGAAAUUGCCCUCAUUUCAUAUUGCAGAGAAACCCUGGAAAUGUGAAGAAUAUGGCACAGCUUGUUCUAUUCUUAGUGAUUUUUGUGUUAUAUGCACGAGUGCAGGUGCUCUCAGAGGCCAGAGGAGGGCACUGUAUUCCCCGGAGCUGGAGUUAGGAGCAUUUUUGAGCUGCCCAGUGUUGAUACAGGGACCCAAACUAAGUUCUUCAAGAACAGUACAUGCUUUUAAAAGAUAAGCUGUUUCUCCAGCCCCUGUAUCACACCUUCUUUGUCCUAACUACUUCUCAGGAACGUAGCUCUAUUGGAAAGUUCUGUUCGUUGCAAUUUUCUUGAACCAUGAGACUAAAUAUUUAUCACUUUAUUAUUUUGCCUGUGGGUUCUGAAAAUAUUUUGAUUUCCUGUAUGACUGAAACGUGUCUUCCAGAUAAGAUGAAGUAGCCUAGCUAUUACAGCUGCAGCCAACUUGCUUCUCUGUGUUGGCCCCUGAAGUCAAUGAAAGACAAGCUAGCUCUGUUGGUAGACACAGACGGAGGGGGAGCAGCUUUGGGGUGAGAUCAGGUCACUUGCUGAGAUUAUUGUCAUUGCAACCAUCUUCCUCUUGCUCCCAGCGCCUUUUAUUUGUCCUGGAUGAGAAAGAGUCUUGGCCAUUCUUUUCAUUAUGACAAAAAUUCUUUUAAAAGAGCGAUCACAGCACCAAUAUCUAUGACCACCCACAACCAUCCCGGGUGAAUGUCACGCUGUGAACAAGUGUGGGAGCUCCGUGGGGCCCCUUCCUUCCUUUAUUUUUUUUUGUUUUUCCCUCUAUAAUUACUAUACGAGCUUUCGAUCUAGGAAGGGAAUGGGUGCCUGGAGUCACCUGAGGACUGAAGAGAUUCCUUGGAUGGUAGGAAUUCUGUAGCAGGUUCCUCAGCUCCAGAAAAGGUGGAAAAGACUUCCUUCAGAAAAUAAGCAUGGGUUUACACUAGUGGAAGGGUAAAAGAAGAUUACUUUGGGUAGUGAGAACAGCUCAAGGCUAACAGCAUCAAAUCCACAAAUAAAUAUAAAUUCCUCUACAGUAGAAAUGAGAAAAUUUUACCAAGUAAUUAAAGGAGACCUAAAAAUAUGGAAACCCUUGCCUUAUGUUCACGUUUAUAGAGCCAAUAUUAAGAUGUUCAGUGUCCACAAAUGAUCUUGUAAGAUCAGUACUGAAUCUCCCAAUGGUUCUUUUUAGAAGGUUUAAAAAGAAAUUGAAAAGUUAAUUCUGAGGUUUUUGUAGAAAUACAAUAGUUCUAAAGCAGCCAAAGCAAUGAAAAAUUGUGAAAAAAAAAAACCCACCUGAUUUUCAGAUUUUUCUAUAAAGUUUUGACAAUUAAACAAAAUAACUAUCAGAUUAGUGGAUUCAGAAUUAGACUCCAAACAUCCACAAGCACUGCUUUCCAGAAAAGGCACAGUGUCAACUCAAUGAGGAAAGGGUUUUCAAAAGUGGUGUUGAAGGGCUGGAGUAUGCCGAGUUGGCGGAACGUUUACUUAGUAUGCACAAACCCUUGGGUUCCGUACUCAGCUCCAUCUUAAUUGAAUAUGGCUGCACACACCUGUAGUCCCAACACUUGGGAAGUGGAGAUAUGAGGAUUAGAAGCUCAAGGUCAUCUCCAACCAUACAGCAAACUUGAGGCCAGCCAAAGCUACAUGUGAUUCUAUCUAAAAACAGAACAAAGCAAAUGGUGCUGAAAUGAUAUACUCUACCAAAUACACCUAUGUCUACAGACAAUGACUUGACAUGACACAUGGAGAGGUCGAGCUGUGGUGAUAUUGUGUUCCCCAAUAUAUUGUGCACCUUAAUAAACUUAUCUGGGGUCAGAGAACAGAACAGCCACUAGAUAGACAUAGAGGCCAGAAAAUGGUGGCACACACACUUUUAAUCCUAGCUUUCUGGAAGCAGAGAUCCAUCCCGAUCUCUGUGAGUUCAAAGCCACACUGGAAACAGCUAGGUAUGGUGACUCAGAAAGCAGAAAGGUAUAUAAAGCGUGAAAACCAGGAACUAGAGGCUGGUUAAGCUUUUAGGCUUUUAGCAGCAGUUCAGCUGAGAUCCAUUCAGAUGAGGACUCAAGGCUUCCAGUUUGAGGAAACAGGAUCGGCUGAGAAGCUGGUGAGGUGAGGUUACCUGUGGCUUGUUCUGUUCCUCUGAUCUUUCAGCAUUCACCCCAGUACCUGGCCCUGGGUUUGUUUUUAUUAAUAAGACCAUUUAAGAUUCGUGCUACAUCGAGCUGGUGCCUACCUUGAGCCUUCACCAUCCUGCUGACUAGUUAGUGUUCAUGAUACUGGAAGGUACUCUGUUCACCAUCAGAGGAGAAAGCUAAGCACCAGUCCAGAUACAAAUCUACAGAUCUGCAGUCUACAGUGGUGACCUGCCUGCAGAUAUGCUGGUGUAAUAGCAGCACAAACGUUAUGGGAAGAACCAACUACUCUCUGAUUGGAUUUAAGGCCUACUACACAAAAUGACACUUGUGGGCUGCAAGAAUAUAUUAUAGAGAUUCAGCUAUACAUUAAAGCUAUACUUAGAAAUUUCAAGGCAUUUUUCUAGAGGAAGCCAUUUAUCAAGGAAUAUUUAGUGUUACUCAUUUUUUAAUAUGUCAGCUGUCUUCUGCUAUGAAAUUCUUGUGAGCCCAUAUACUACUAGACCAUAUUGGCAAACAGUAUAAGCUUCUCACACUGAUCCACUAGCAGAGCCUAGGAGACAGGCAGGGCUGUGGAUGAAUAGCUUUGCUUCUUGUGCAAAUGAAACUCAGACCAUCCCUUGCCUUCAGGCCUAGAAGCAUUGCAGAGAGAUUGACUGAGGACAGCAGGGCUUUUUGAAUAACCAGGUGCAGUAAGGAAUUCCAGAUGCCGGCAGAGAGUCGUGUGGCCAGGAAAGAAAGAACAAGGAGAGUUUCUGUAGAUGUUAAGGCAGAAUGGCUCAGGAUGAGGAGUGAGGAACAAGGAAAAGUUUCUUGUAGAUUGUCGGUGAAUCAGAUCAGGAGAAGAGAAGAGGAAGGAAAGAUGGAGGAUGAAGGAACAGGAGACGAAGUUGAGAUCGAAAGCGUAAGGCCUUAGUUAGUUAUUACUAGGGCUACGAGGGGACAGAAAAAGUAGGUGCAGAGAGGAACUGAGAGUCAGAACUGUAUAGACAGAAUUUUGUCUUAGAGAAAUAAAGUAAUGGACAAAAGAACUUUGGUGUACCCAGAUUGUUUUCCCUCAGAUUACCCUCCUUCCCCCACCGGUUGUCUUCCCCAGGACUCUGGGAAGAAUCUUCUCAGGGCAGGGACUCAGGAAAAUUCCAUUACCUGACACUGGUUGGGUGGCUAUGAACCUUGGACUGGAUAGACCACAGGCCUAGGGGAAAACCAAAUACUAUUGUGCUGCUAACUGAGCAUUGUGAUAAAAUGAUCCUAAUGACACUCUACUAUACCCACAGAGCAGUCUUUGCUCAGCCAUCAUCAAAGAAGCUUCUGAUUGCAAUGGAUGGGAACUGAUGAAGCUUCUGAUUGCAAUGGAUGGGAACUAACACAGAGCCCCACAACUGGACAAUGUGCAGAGACUGAGAUUCUGGAACACACAGUUUUUAAUCGGAAGUCAUCAUCAAACUCCUUCUCUCAGGGCACAGGGAGCUAUGGGAAGAGGGAGUGGAAAGGUUCUAAGAGCCAGAGAGGAUGGGUAACUUCAACAGAACAAUGUCUUCCAGACACAACAGGACUGAUGCACAGAUGCCCUCAAAGAGUAGCAGCAUGCACAGUUUCAAGCCAGAUGAGGCUCUCAAAAUUGGGGAGUGGACACAGGCUCCCACCCCUAAUGAAGAAGCUAUCUGCAGUUGACACCCAUUUGUUUUCUCCAGUGGAAAAACACUGAGAAAUAUUAACCACACUUAAGGGUAGGCCCUUUGGUGGCUUGAAUAGGAAUGACCCGCCCAGACACACAUUUGAAUGCUUGGCCCGUAGGGAGUGGCACUAUUAGGAGGCGUGGCCUUGUUGGAGGAAGUACGUUACUGUGGGGGCGGGCUUUGAGGUCUCAGAGCUAGCUCAGUCCAGGCCUUGUGGAGUACUCAACUUUUGUCUGUGGAUCAAGAUGUAGAACUCUCAGCUCCUCUCUAGCACUAUGUCUGCCCCCAUGCUUCCUGCCAUGCUGGUAAUGGACUAAAUCUCUGAAACUGUAAGCCAGCCCUAAUUAAAUGUUUCCUUUAUAAGA